rnacentral:rRNA from 1 species
UGUUUCGGCAAGGGGGUCAUCCCGACUUACCAACCCGAUGCAAACUGCGAAUACCGGAGAAUGUUAUCACGGGAGACACACGGCGGGUGCUAACGUCCGUCGUGAAGAGGGAAACAACCCAGACCGCCAGCUAAGGUCCCAAAGUCAUGGUUAAGUGGGAAACGAUGUGGGAAGGCCCAGACAGCCAGGAUGUUGGCUUAGAAGCAGCCAUCAUUUAAAGAAAGCGUAAUAGCUCACUGGUCGAGUCGGCCUGCGCGGAAGAUGUAACGGGGCUAAACCAUGCACCGAAGCUGCGGCAGCGACGCUUAUGCGUUGUUGGGUAGGGGAGCGUUCUGUAAGCCUGCGAAGGUGUACUGUGAGGUAUGCUGGAGGUAUCAGAAGUGCGAAUGCUGACAUAAGUAACGAUAAAGCGGGUGAAAAGCCCGCUCGCCGGAAGACCAAGGGUUCCUGUCCAACGUUAAUCGGGGCAGGGUGAGUCGACCCCUAAGGCGAGGCCGAAAGGCGUAGUCGAUGGGAAACAGGUUAAUAUUCCUGUACUUGGUGUUACUGCGAAGGGGGGACGGAGAAGGCUAUGUUGGCCGGGCGACGGUUGUCCCGGUUUAAGCGUGUAGGCUGAUUUUCCAGGUAAAUCCGGAAAAUCAAGGCUGAGGCGUGAUGACGAGGCACUACGGUGCUGAAGCAACAAAUGCCCUGCUUCCAGGAAAAGCCUCUAAGCAUCAGGUAACAUCAAAUCGUACCCCAAACCGACACAGGUGGUCAGGUAGAGAAUACCAAGGCGCUUGAGAGAACUCGGGUGAAGGAACUAGGCAAAAUGGUGCCGUAACUUCGGGAGAAGGCACGCUGAUACGUAGGUGAAGUCCCUUGCGGAUGGAGCUGAAAUCAGUCGAAGAUACCAGCUGGCUGCAACUGUUUAUUAAAAACACAGCACUGUGCAAACACGAAAGUGGACGUAUACGGUGUGACGCCUGCCCGGUGCCGGAAGGUUAAUUGAUGGGGUUAGCGGUAACGCGAAGCUCUUGAUCGAAGCCCCGGUAAACGGCGGCCGUAACUAUAACGGUCCUAAGGUAGCGAAAUUCCUUGUCGGGUAAGUUCCGACCUGCACGAAUGGCGUAAUGAUGGCCAGGCUGUCUCCACCCGAGACUCAGUGAAAUUGAACUCGCUGUGAAGAUGCAGUGUACCCGCGGCAAGACGGAAAGACCCCGUGAACCUUUACUAUAGCUUGACACUGAACAUUGAGCCUUGAUGUGUAGGAUAGGUGGGAGGCUUUGAAGUGUGGACGCCAGUCUGCAUGGAGCCGACCUUGAAAUACCACCCUUUAAUGUUUGAUGUUCUAACGUUGGCCCCUAAUCGGGGUUGCGGACAGUGUCUGGUGGGUAGUUUGACUGGGGCGGUCUCCUCCUAAAGAGUAACGGAGGAGCACGAAGGUUGGCUAAUCCUGGUCGGACAUCAGGAGGUUAGUGCAAUGGCAUAAGCCAGCUUGACUGCGAGCGUGACGGCGCGAGCAGGUGCGAAAGCAGGUCAUAGUGAUCCGGUGGUUCUGAAUGGAAGGGCCAUCGCUCAACGGAUAAAAGGUACUCCGGGGAUAACAGGCUGAUACCGCCCAAGAGUUCAUAUCGACGGCGGUGUUUGGCACCUCGAUGUCGGCUCAUCACAUCCUGGGGCUGAAGUAGGUCCCAAGGGUAUGGCUGUUCGCCAUUUAAAGUGGUACGCGAGCUGGGUUUAGAACGUCGUGAGACAGUUCGGUCCCUAUCUGCCGUGGGCGCUGGAGAACUGAGGGGGGCUGCUCCUAGUACGAGAGGACCGGAGUGGACGCAUCACUGGUGUUCGGGUUGUCAUGCCAAUGGCACUGCCCGGUAGCUAAAUGCGGAAGAGAUAAGUGCUGAAAGCAUCUAAGCACGAAACUUGCCCCGAGAUGAGUUCUCCCUGACUCCUUGAGAGUCCUGAAGGAACGUUGAAGACGACGACGUUGAUAGGCCGGGUGUGUAAGCGCAGCGAUGCGUUGAGCUAACCGGUACUAAUGAACCGUGAGGCUUAACCUUACAACGCCGAAG